AUUGAACGCUGGCGGCAGGCCUAACACAUGCAAGUCGAGCGGAGCGGCGGACGGGUGAGUAAUGCCUAGGAAUCUGCCUGGUAGUGGGGGAUAACGUCCGGAAACGGGCGCUAAUACCGCAUACUAUCAGAUGAGACAAGGUCGGCUUAGCUAGUUGGUGGGGUAAAGGCCUACCAAGGCGAUGAUCCGUAACUGGUCUGAGAGUAUGAUCAGGCACCCGGGAACGUAGACACGGUCCAGACUCCUACGUGAGGCAGCAGUUGGGAAUAUUGGACAAUGGGCGAAAGCCUGAUCCAGCCAUGCCGCGUGUGUGAAGAAGGUCUUCGGAUUGUAAAGCACUUUAAGUUGGGAGGCAUUACCAACAGAAUAAGCACCGGCUAACUUCGUGCCAGCAGCCGCGGUAAUUC
rnacentral:rRNA from 1 species